rnacentral:rRNA from 1 species
UACGGAGGGUGCAAGCGUUAUCCGGAUUUACUGGGUUUAAAGGGUGCGUAGGUGGGUUGGUGAGUCAGUGGUGAAAUACUUUCGCUUAACGAAGGAACUGCCAUUGAUACUACCAGCCUUGAAUACAGUGGAGGUGGGCGGAAUGCGUCAUGUAGCGGUGAAAUGCUUAGAUAUGACGCAGAACACCAAUUGCGAAGGCAGCUUGCUACGCUGUUAUUGACACUGAGGCACGAAAGCGUGGGGAUCAAACAGG